rnacentral:rRNA from 1 species
UACAGAGGUCCCGAGCGUUGUUCGGAUUCACUGGGCGUAAAGAGCGUGUAGGCGGCCCGGUAAGUCCGCUGUAAAAGUCAAAGGCUCAACCUUUGAAUGUCAGUGGAUACUGCCGGGCUAGAGUCCGGAAGAGGCGAGUGGAACUCCUGGUGUAGCGGUGGAAUGCGCAGAUAUCAGGAAGAACACCAACGGCGAAGGCAGCUCGCUGGGACGGUACUGACGCUGAGACGCGAAAGCGUGGGGAGCGAACAGG